UUUCUCAUCUGGUUUCACUUCAGAUAGCACCUGCAAAUGGCAACAUAAACCAGACAUUAAAUAAACAAUUUUUUCUGUUUAUUAAAAAAAUAUUAACAAGAAAAAAAUAUUUAGGUACACAAGAAUUCAGAUCCAAGACAUCUAUAUCUACCUGUUAUAAAAGACGGAUUAUUGGAUAAAAAUAUCCUCAAUAUUUUAUAUUGAUUAGGAGAUUUUAGCAUAUUUUCUUUCCCUAUUUAGAGUUUGAUUGUUAGAAAUAGAGGUGAUGAGAAUGUAAUGGGUGUGAUUAUUAUCUAUAAAAUAAUUCUUCUUUUCCUUGUAUAGUUCAAGUUGGUUAGAGAUUUUGAUCUUGGAAGCUCUAUUUUCACUGCCAUGUAAAUAGCUGCUACUGCUGUUACUCUAUCGCCGCCACUGUUGAGGUCUGAUGAGGUCAAUAGUGAGCUAGAAAGGUGCACCUUAGUAGAGUUGCCACGUGCCACCAGUACCAGCUGUUAGUAUACACACUAUAGUUAAUUGUCAAAUGUAUUGUACAGCUUAUUUUCUUUGUAUAGUUGUAGGUUUACCUGUAAACUGUUUUACUACUUUGUACAACUGUCAAUUCUUAUAACAACUAGUAGUAAACUAUAUCUAUAAAUACAUCUUGUACCUAAGGUUCUAAGUGUGCUACAAUAAUAAAAAUAUUCAGUUCUCUAUAUUUUCUCUAUUCAAUUUCUCUAAGAUAGUAUCUAGAGUUUUUUCUUCAACAAUCUUGCUUCUUCAAGUUCUUCAUUGAUUUCCUUAUUGUUCAAGUUGCGAUUGCUUCCACUUCAUCCUCUUCUAAUUUCAAUCAGUAAUUAUUUGAGGUUGAUUCACUUCCUUAAUUCACGUUUUCAAUUGGUGAUAUGUUCUCAAUUCAGCUCGAAAUUGAUUCAGCUUCGUUAAUUUGAGGUUUCAAUCAGUGAAUUGAUCCUGAUCUGACUCGUGAUUGCUUCUUUUCAAGUGUUUUCCAUUUCAAUUGGUGAAUUGUUCUUUGUUCCUAAUUUUCUCUGUUCAAUUGUAUCUCUGAAUUUGCACUUUGCGAAGGCUUCACUCGCUUUGCUCAUGUCUUCAUAAAUUCUGCUUGCUAUGGCUUUUGCUUCGUUUCCUACAUCUACUGCUAUGAAAUUGGAUGAUUCUAACUACUUAUAUUGGCAUCAAUAUGUUGAGCCAGUAAUUAAGUCACAUAAACUCCAGCGUUUUGUUGUUAAUCUAGUGGUUCCAUCUAGAUAUCUCAAUGAACAUGACUGUGCUGCUAACACUGUUAAUCCUAAAUAUGAAGCUUGGGAAGUUCAAGAUCAAACACUGCUAGUGUGACUUCAGUCUACUCUCUCCAAAUCUGUUAUGUCUCGUUUUUGGAUGCACUCAUUCCUAUGAGGUGUGGAAGAAGAUUGAUGAGUACUUUAGUCUCCAGACUAAAUCUCGUGCGGGACAGCUACGUACUGCUAUGCAAGGUAUCAAACUUGACUCCAAAUUGAUAGAGGAGUACUUGCUAAAAAUUAAGAGCUAUGUUGAUGAACUUGUUGGAGUUGGUGUUCCUAUCAGGCAUGAAGAACCUGUUGAUGCCAUCUUGGAUCUAAUUAUGCUUCCGUUGUUUAUGUCAUUGAAAGUAAGAAAUGCAUUCCUUCCAUUACUGAGAUUGAAGCUCUCUUGUAUGGUCAUGAAAACAUGGCUUACUCGUUAUGUACAAGAGACUCAGCUUAAUCACACCAUCUCUAAACUACACUCAAGUCUCCUACUCUCGUGGUGCUAAUAAAUAGGAGGUUUUCAAGGAUCCUUUCAUGGUGGAGGUCUUGGCAAAGGAAGAGGUGGAGGUUUGCUAACUUUCAAUGCCAAAUUUGUCUAAAAUUUGGUCAUACAACCAAUGUCUGCACUUCAAAUUUGAUUUCUCUAAUCAGAUGCAUGAGUCACUGUUUUUUAUUGAUCCAGCUCACAACAAUCUAUUCCCUAUUCAGCUGGUUCAUAGAAGACUUCAAACACUUGGCUGAAUCUGAAUGCUAAAUCUAAUAACAAUAAUCAACCUAAUUCUAUGUUGAUGAAGUCUAACUCUCAAGGUAAUGCUAAUACUUCUGGAUACCAGAUUCUGCUGCCAGUUUUCAUGUCAUUGGUGAACCACCAAAUAUUAAACAACUCCAACAAUUUGAAGGUCCAAAUCAGAUAUUCAUCGCAAAUGGUGCUGGUUCAUCUUCUAUUGUAUCACCUUAUGAUUCUAGAGUCUUGUUUCAGUUAAAAAAUUGUUAAGUGUUACUUUGUUUGUGUUAGAUAUAGUGUUUUAUGUUAAUUAGGAAAACAUAGUCCCUAUGUUAAUUAUGUUGUUUUUACAUAUUCAUUUGUUUUUGGGCUUAGCCCACAUUCUUAUUAUUGUAAAUACAUUAUCCUAUGUAUAUUUUCUACACAAAGGAGAUUAAUCCUAUAUCUAGUUUUACUAUAUUCA